AACGAACGCUGGCGGCAGGCCUAACACAUGCAAGUCGAGCGAGACCUUCGGGUCUAGCGGCGGACGGGUGAGUAACGCGUGGGAACGUGCCCUUUGCUUCGGAAUAGCCCCGGGAAACUGGGAGUAAUACCGAAUGUUCUCUACGGCGGAAAGAUUUAUCGGCAAAGGAUCGGCCCGCGUUGGAUUAGGUAGGUGGUGGGGUAAUGGCCUACCGAGCCGACGAUCCAUAGCUGUUUUGAGAGGAUGAUCAGCCACACUGGGACUGAGACACGGCCCAGACUACUACGGGAGGCAGCAGUGGGGAAUCUUAGACAAUGGGGGAAACCCUGAUCUAGCCAUGCCGCGUGAGCGAUGAAGGCCUUAGGGUUGUAAAGCUCUUUCACCGGGGAAGAUAAUGACGGUACCCGGAGAAGAAGCCCCGGCUAACUCCGUGCCAGCAGCCGCCGUAAAAC
rnacentral:rRNA from 1 species